UGAAGGUAAUGGAAUAUUACUCUACUAUUUUAAAUGAAAAAUAUGAUGAAUACAGAGAAAGAUGGAAAGACUCUCAUGAACUAAAGCUGUAAAGAAAGAAGACAUAUUAAAAAUAUAUAUACAAUGACCACAACAAAGCAAAUGGAAAGAACAAGUACAGAACAACUAAAAGUGAAUGUUGCUGAAUUAUAAAGAAUAAGGUUGGACUUAAAAAUGAAGUCUUAGGAGAUACUGCCCUUUUUUCUCGAUUGAAAUGGGGGAAAGGCAUACACAGAUCCCCAGCUCACCUGUGUAAUACCAAAUAAGGCUUUUGUAGCACACAGAGAUUCAGCAACCAGAUAAGACCUCUAUAACACACAGAGAUUCAGUAACUUGCCCAUGGUUACACAAUUGAAUGCUGGGGUGAAAUUUGAACUCAAGCUCUCUUGACUGCAAGCUGUGCCUCACCUUCUUGUUCAUCUGUAUGACAAAUCCAGAUAUGAACUCUAAUCAGCAAAUGAAGCAUCUACCCAAAUGAGAGUUGGAAUCUGAACAAUAGAAUUCAGCAAGCACCAGCCCUGAAGUCAGGAGGACCUAAGUUUAAAUCUGGCCUCGGACCAAACACUCAACCCCAA